UAUAUAUAUAUAUAUAUAAUACUAAGUAAUAAAAACUAAGUAAUAAAUUGUUCACUGUAAACACUAAUUUGUUGACUCAAUCAACUUUUUGACUCAUUUAAGUCAAAAUUACAGCGUAAAGACAGCUUGAACUCGUCAUUCCAUAAAUACAUCCAACCUCCAUGUAACUCAAGCCUUUAUUCAACUAAUUUAAAUAUUAAAAAUGUAUGAAAGUUGCCUUGAAUAACGAGCUAGCUCAAAGCACCACUGUGCUACAUGAACUGGCUUCCUUAUUCCUUUGUCCUGUUUUUGAUCUUUCAUAAAAUAAAACAAAAUUUUGAGGAGGAGUAUUACGAGAAAUCUUCCUGAUAAAAUAAAACGUUAUUCUGACCCAACAAGUCCUCAAGCAAACUUAAGUGUUUGUUAAAUGUGCCAAACUGCUUCUUUGAGCUGUGAUAUUACUCUUGCACUGAUUUCUCUCAGCUCAAAAUAAUGUGAAAGAAAUCCUUAAUUUCAUGUUUAGAGAGAAAUAACAGAGGUGUGUGAGUCAGGGUUAUCUGCAGAUUUGAUUGACUUUUUCAUUAAAAAAAGGACUCAUGCUCUUAUUUUUUCCUUUGGCCAUGCUUCACUGUAAGAAUUCAUCACAUCUUUUGGGGAUCAGUCAUCCAAAAAUCAAUGCCCAACCUCCUGCCAGCCCAUCAGUUGAGCCUACAUUUAUUAUUUUGACCUUUCCUUUGAGAGGAAGAGAAGGGGGAUGACAUCAAAGGGAAUUCUUGACUCGAUCUUCUGUUAAAAGACGGAGGUGUCACACUCUCAGUGUGAGCAGCAGACUGUUGGCCAGUGAAGAAGCAAGAUGGAGACUGAGUCAACGUAUUUAGAGCUAGAAUCAACAAGUCGGAGGUGAGCGGUGUCUGAAUGGAACCGGCUGCAGCAGAUCCAUCAUCAGCCACUGCUGGCUUAAAAGGAGGAGGAAGACCACUGCUCAACGCCAGUUGAUUACUCCACACGGGUAUAUCCAAUCCUGCUCAACUUCACACAUUCAGCCAUACUCCUGGACCUCACUUCAGCCUGCAUCUUCCUUCCCUCAGUCAUUUCACCACCGCUCAUCCACCCCUUUCUGGAACCAUUCUCGACCCCACUGGACACUUGGAUCCUGCCACCUCAGACCUAACAGACCUCCCCACAUACCAUCUCCCCAGCAGCACAGUAAGAUCUCCACUCCUCCUCCACCUUCAAACCACCAAAACCUUCUACUAAUCCAGACUCUACAUGCAGGUUCAUUUCUGCCCCUCUCCCCUGCAUCUCCCAGUUUGGGAGUUGUGCACCGUUUAAUAAAACCUUUUUUUUUAAUCUUACAUUUGUCUCGUGUUGAUUCUGCAUGUCUUGGGUCAAGCACCUAAACCCCAACAUGUCAUUCACUGAAUCUUAAAACAAAUAUAUUGUUUAAUGAAAGAGAAAACAAGGAUGUAACAUUAAAAUAGAUGGAAUGGACAUUGAAAGGGUGAAAGAAACCAAAUGUUUAGGAGUCAUGUUUGAUGAAGCACUCACCUGGAAGUCACACAUAGGUUAUAUCAGAAGUAAAAUUGCCAAAGCCAUCACAGUACUACUGCAUAGUUCUGGAUUGCUGAUAUUGAAAAACUCACUGAUCGCCCCAUUCUUAACUUACUGUGUAGAAAUAUGGGGAUCUGCAUGUAAAACUCAUACACAACCACUGUUCUACAGAAAAGAGCAUUGAGAAUCAUUAAUUGUUUUAGAGAUCCAUCCAAUCUGAUAUUCAUCAAAUAUAAAUUACUGAAGAUUCAUGAUCUAGUUAAUAUGAAAUUACAAUGUAUAAAGCUAAUACAAAUACACUACCCACCAACAUUCAGAAAAUAUUUUAAGAAAAGAGUCAGUAAUUAUUUCUUUAACCCUUAAAUUUCCAGGUUUAAUUAACACAAGGGCAGGACGCCAGAAUGCUUAGGGGUUAAAAGGAACUGAAGUAUUUAGAAAAACCUAGAUUUAGAACCAGAAUGAAGGAGAUGACUAUUUCUGUAAAUGGUGUGAGAAUAUGGAACAACCUUAGCAAAGAUAUAAAAGAAUCAAAGUCACUAAAUGUAUUUUAAAAAUGUAUAAAAUCUAGUGUAUUACAGAAUUACAAAAUCUAAAUUCAGAUAGUGUCUGAUUAGGUCUGUAAAUUAAAAGAAUAUACACUGUAAACCCCGAUUAGUUCAGUCUACUUAAAAAAAAACCAAGGUAACCCGUUGCCUUAAAAUUUUAAGUAAUGAAUAAUUAGUUGAAUUGAUGCAACUGAGUAUGUUCAAUGUACUUAAGGCCUUAAUGGGAUGAAAUUAAAGAUUUAAGUUGAAUAUACAAAUAACAAAAGUUGCAUUAACAAUAGUAAAGGAACUAUUUCAGAACAAGUGUUUCAAUAAAAUCAGAACAUUAAUAUUUAAGUGCAUGGAUUAAUACAUCUGAACUCAUGCAGUAGGAACUAGGAAAUAUGAAAUACUAGAACCAGACACAACUUUAUGUAUUUUUUUUAUUUUAAUUUGAUUAAACUGAUUUUUUUCUUAACGUUCUUGGCAUUCUGCCCCAAACAAAGUUAAACAAAACAAUGUUGAUUAAGGUGUGUGUGUCUGAGAGAGAUAGAGAGGGUGAGAGGGAGAGAGAUGGAGUUUAAAAAAGUAAAAAACCCAACCGGAGCGGAGGUAGUGAGUGACUGAUGCAGCACGCCAGCUCUGUCUUGUCAAAUGCACCAGGUAAGUUACGAAAAAAGUCACUUUAAAUGUUCAGCCGAAAAAGAGGCGAGCUGAAGAAAACUGAAGAAACGUGAGCAACAGUGAAGCAAUCACAGCGAGAUCCGUUACUAUCUGUGUGUGUGCGUGGAUGAGCCGGACGGACUGAGCUCCCGGCCGGCUAGAGAGUUUUGUGUGUAGGGAGGAGCGGGCGCUCUAUGUGACUGGCCAAUCACAGAGCGUGAAGACAGUCAGUUACCCAAUGAGGAUUUUCCUUUAGCACGAUUACAGAUAUUUACGAGGUUUACUCGUUUCAUGCUUGUAUUCAUCAAAAAUGCUUUAUCCGUACCGGAUACUCGUCUGAAACAAGUAUCCGGCUCAUCCCUAAAAUAAACAAUACACAUAUCAACUUCUGAUCAUUCCUUAUCAAUUUCAGACUUAAAAUAAUAUAUUGAUGUAAACUACAGCCACUUCCAGUUAAACCACGCCCACUUCCGGGUUAUGCCGCGCCCAUUCGGAGUACAGAUACAGAUAAUUUAGUUGGUUGAACAGAUACAGAUAGUGGUGUACUCGCUCAUCCCUAUUUCAAACCCUCCCAGCGGGCACGGGAGCUCAUUCCUGGGCCGGUGCCGGCCGGCAGCAGCGGGGUAUUCAUAAUUUGGCAUAUAAGUCACUUUGGUAUAUAAGUCGCAGGACCAACCAGACUAUGAAAAAAAGUGUGACUUAUAGUCCGGAAAAUACAGUACUUAAUGAUAAAUGACUCGCACUUGUAUAGCGCCUCUCAGAGUAAGGACUCCAAAGCGCUUUACACUACAGUGUACCAUUCAUCCAUUCACACACACAUUCACACACUGAUGUUGAUGAGCUACAAUGUAGCCACAGCUGCCCUAGGGCGCACUGACAGAGGCGAGACUGCCAAGAACGGGUGCCACUCACCACCACCAGCAGGCAAGGUGAGUUAAGUGUCUCGCCCAAGGACACAACAGCAGAAUUCUCUGUCCGGAGCCGGGAUCGAACCUGCAACCUUCCGAUUACUGGACAACCCGCUCAACCUGUUGAGCUACUGCUGCCCCUGAUGAGUCGAUUCCUUCUAAUUAUUUAAGUGUGUGUGUGUGUGUGUGUGUGUGUGUGUGUGUGUGUGUGUGUGUGUGUGUGUGUGUGUGUGUGUGUGUGUG
rnacentral:lncRNA from 1 species